CUUUAAUAAUUCUUCAAUAUUCUGACCAAUACCAGAGUGGGCCUUUUGUACCCGCAUCUUAUGGUUUUCAUCCAACUGUUUCUUUAGGAUAAGUACUUUUAAAACUGCAAUGGCUGGAUCAAAAUGCAUGCACAGUUGUUAUGUUUUUUAUAAAUAUUGACAGAUCACUUCUGGAAAGUUCUCUGUGUCAACUUCCAUUAGCACUAACGAGCUAUAAAAGUGCUUUGCCCACCCCAGAACGGUUUAUAUAUUCAUUAUUUGCCAAUAUAUAAAAAAAGGAACUACAGUGCUUUUCAUUUGCACUUCCCUAUAGUUUUAUGCUGUGAAAGAGGGAAAAAUAUUACCCACAUCUCAAGAUUUUGUGCGUGUGAAAUAAAAUAGCGGUAAUAAUAUAAAAGUAUCACGGAGCUAUCAUUGUGGAACAGUCGCCAGGUAAAGUGAGAUCCUGGCCUUAUUUCCCUGUAUUUUCCCAACAUUGUGAAAUCCUUUCAUGGCCUCAGUUUCCUCUUCUGCAAAAUAGAGCCUAUGAGAGUACACACCUCCAGGAUUGCUGGAGAGUGAAUAAAACAAUCCUCCGAAUGAGAUCAGAGCCCUGGAAAGGCUGGGAGAGGCGGAGCUGUUUGCUUAAGACUCUGCAGCCUGCCAGCGGCUGGUGUCAACUUCAGAGAAUAAACUGACUCCACCCCUUGUCCCGUUUACCCAGCCCUAUUCAGAUUACAAGGCCUCCCUGCCCUUGGCCAUCGUCGCCCCGAGGAAAGCUGAACUACCCAUCAGGAGGGCUGUAAAGAGCCAGUGAUGGUCACAUGCCACCUCUGCCCUUUGACCAACACUCUCAGCCUGUCAACUUUGUCCGACACUGGAGACAUUUGGGACAUCACGCCUGCCCUUUCACUCUGGGGGAGACCGAGGCCUGGAGGAAGAAGGCUGCCGGGCCCACCUGGCCAUCCCCUGCAACCGGGGGAGGCCGAAGAGUCUUUGAGGCAGUGAAGGAGGCAGUCGGGGGACGAUGGUGGUGAAAGGAGGCAGGAAGGGUAAGAGGGUGUAGAGGCUGAGGCUCAGGUAGGGCCUCCAGCAGACCCCCACCCACCAGGGGCUGGGAGUGUGUGUGGGUCCUCGCCCAAUGUCCCAGUGCAGGCACAGCACGCCCUCUUGGCAGCCUGAUGCUCUUUCUGGGCCCCCACCUCGGCUGCCAUGGAGGGGAGGCCCAGGAGGCCCGGGGCAGCCUCUGGAGUGGGUGGGGUCCUCAAGGCAGGCAGAGCGGGCCUCUCCGGAGACAGGGCGUGGGGGCUGCUGCAGCCCAUGGCAUCCACCGACGCAUCUGGGGAUGCGGACUCGUCCUGGCCCACAGGCACACUGUCUGCUGGCUGUGCCAAGGGCAUUUCCUCUCCGUCCACCUCGGUGGAUGCGUCUUGGCCAUCGACAUCCAACGGUUCCUCCGCUGGGGAUGCAUGCUGAGCCAUGAAUAAUUCCUGCACCUCAACUGCACCCAGGGCAGAGGACGCCGCCUCCUCCUCCUCUUCAUCCAGCGUCAGCUCGAACUGGAACUUAUCAGGGGGCGUUGGGUGGUCCGGCCCCUCCGGCUCCUCCUCGAGCGGCGGCGACGGGCUCUGCCGCAUGGCGCUGUAGUACCAGUCCCGGUUGUCUUCCAGGGUGUCUAGGAUCUCCUGGGCGUCCGGGUGGACCAAGUCGGCCCAUGUCUCCCACAGCGGGUGCACAAUAUAGUCGAUGAACCCCACCUGGGGAAGGGAGAAGAAGGAUGAACCUGUGGCCGCAGUGGUAAAGACGGCCCCGCCAUGCUGAGGGAUCUAAUAAAAGUUAAAUGUUGA